GCCCCCGUAGCUCAGUGGAUAGAGCACAGCCCUCCGAAGGCUGGUGCGCAGGUUCAACUCCUGCCGGGGGCAC
rnacentral:tRNA from 1 species